CUAAGGCAAAAUAGACCAUAAAAAGUUUCGCGUCAAUGUAACAAUCAUAGUUCACACAUUUUGGCAGUUGUUCAACACAGAUUUAAUUUCAUUAUUUCAAAGAUUCGGCUGUUAAAAUCAUUCGUUGGAAAAAUAAUAAAAAUGGGCAGUAAAACGGUUAAAUACGUUACAAAGUGACUCACAAUUCCAUGAAGAACUUAAUAAUGCAGGCAUACGUCUCGCUGUAGUUUAUUUCUCCGGACAUUGGUGUGGACCUUGUGAGCUUUUAAAUCCAGAAUUCGAAAGAUUACCUCGAAAAUAUCCCAGGGCUGUGUUUAUAAGAGUAGAUGUCGACAAGUGCUUUGACACCGUGGCGGAAUUGGAAAUAUCAGCAAUUCCAACAUUUAUUUUAUACAGAAAUCGGGCCAAAAUAGAUCGUUUAAGAGGAGCAUUUCUUGAGGUGCUGGAAGGAAGGAUAAAAGAACAUAUUGGCACGGGUGAAAGUGAAGCUAUACAAGAGCUUGUGGACUUCGAAAGAAUGGCAUUCAAAUCUUCACAAUCUGAUACAUUAAAAAAAAUUGGUUUUUGAUGGCAAAAUUUUGACUGCAUGGGAACUGGGAACUACCAUUAAAUUUUCAAAAUUAAUUACCAAAAUUCAAUCAUUUUCUGUUGCUCUAAAAGUUAUAAAAUCAAUAAACUUGAAAUGUUUACUUAAAUUAUUUAUUGAACCGGAAAAGUCUAUCCCUUAGAUAUUUUUUCCAUAAAGAUAUAUGCUUUAAAUUGCUUAGCUUUACCUAAAUUAUCUUCAGAUUUACCCAAAUGAUGGUUAUUUGAUUUAUGUUGCCUGUGAUU